AUGAACGCUGGCGGCGUGCCUAAUACAUGCAAGUCGAGCGAACAGAUGAGGAGCUUGCUCCUCUGACGUUAGCGGCGGACGGGUGAGUAACACGUGGAUAACCUACCUAUAAGACUGGGAUAACUUCGGGAAACCGGAGCUAAUACCGGAUAAUAUAUUGAACCGCAUGGUUCAAUAGUGAAAGACGGUUUUGCUGUCACUUAUAGAUGGAUCCGCGCCGCAUUAGCUAGUUGGUAAGGUAACGGCUUACCAAGGCAACGAUGCGUAGCCGACCUGAGAGGGUGAUCGGCCACACUGGAACUGAGACACGGUCCAGACUCCUACGGGAGGCAGCAGUAGGGAAUCUUCCGCAAUGGGCGAAUGCCUGACGGAGCAACGCCGCGUGAGUGAUGAUGGUCUUCUGAUCGUAAAACUCUGUUAUUAGGGAAGAACAAAUGUGUAAGUAACUAUGCACGUCUUGACGGUACCUAAUCAGAAAGCCACGGCUAACUACGUG
rnacentral:rRNA from 1 species